AACGACCUCAGAGCAGGCGAAACUACCCGCUGAAUUUAAGCAUAU
rnacentral:rRNA from 1 species